rnacentral:rRNA from 1 species
UACGAAGGGGGCUAGCGUUGCUCGGAAUGACUGGGCGUAAAGCGCGCGUAGGCGGCCCUGUAAGUCCGUUGUGAAAGUCAAAGGCUCAACCUUUGAAAGCCGAUGGAUACUGCAGGGCUGGAGUCCGGAAGAGGCGGGUGGAAUUCCGGGUGUAGCGGUGGAAUGCGUAGAGAUCCGGAAGAACACCAGUGGCGAAGGCGGCCCGCUGGGCAGUGGCUGACGCUGAGGCGCGACAGCGUGGGGAGCAAACGAG